AGAAGGGGGAAGAGCAAUUCUACNANGCUGUGAGGAUCNCUAGUACGNCUUGUGAACAUACCAAUUGUUGCCUCGGCGGAUCAGCCCGCUCCCGGUAAAACGUGGACGGCCCGCCAGAGGACCCCUAAACUCUGUUUCUAUAUGUAACUUCUGAGUAAAACCAUAAACUAAAUCAAAACUUUCAACAACGGAUCUCUUGGAUUCUGGCAUCGAUGAAGAACGCAGCAAAAUGCGAUAAGUAAUGUGAAUUGCAUGAACUUCAGUGAAUCAUCGAAUCUUUGAACGCACAUUGCGCCCGCCAGAUAUUCUGGCGGGCAUGCCUGUUCGAGCGUCAUUUCAACCCGUCAAGCCCAGCUUGGUGUUGGGACUCGCGAGUCAAAUCGCUGUUUCCCCAAAUUGAUUGGCGGUCACGUCGAGCUUCCAUAGCGUAUAUAAAACCCUCGUUACUGGUAAUCGUCGCGGCCACGCCGUUCAACCCCAACUUCUGAAUGUUGACCUCGGAUCAGGUAGGAAUACCCGUUAACUUUAUUUUCAUAGCGA
rnacentral:rRNA from 1 species